rnacentral:sRNA from 1 species
ACACGAGGAAGGAGGUGGUCCGGAGUUGAAGACUUUCAGGACACGUGAGGUGGCGGUCCGCUAACCGCUGCACGACCAACGGACCAGCGUGGGCACUGCCCCCUGCCGCGUGUGCGGCGGCGAGCACUACCCGGAUCGCUACCCGGCCCCCGAGUCGUCGGCCCGUCCAGCCGACCCGGUCAUCCGACCGGCCCGACUCGGGGGUCGUUCAUG